rnacentral:rRNA from 1 species
GAUGAACGCUGGCGGCGUGCCUAAUACAUGCAAGUCGAGCGAACGGACGAGAAGCUUGCUUCUCUGAUGUUAGCGGCGGACGGGUGAGUAACACGUGGAUAACCUACCUAUAAGACUGGGAUAACUUCGGGAAACCGGAGCUAAUACCGGAUAAUAUUUUGAACCGCAUGGUUCAAAGGUGAAAGACGGUCUUGCUGUCACUUAUAGAUGGAUCCGCGCUGCAUUAGCUAGUUGGUAAGGUAACGGCUUACCAAGGCAACGAUGCAUAGCCGACCUGAGAGGGUGAUCGGCCACACUGGAACUGAGACACGGUCCAGACUCCUACGGGAGGCAGCAGUAGGGAAUCUUCCGCAAUGGGCGAAAGCCUGACGGAGCAACGCCGCGCGAGUGAUGAAGGUCUUCGGAUCGUAAAACUCUGUUAUUAGGGAAGAACAUAUGUGUAAGUAACUGUGCACAUCUUGACGGUACCUAAUCAGAAAGCCACGGCUAACUACGUG